UGUAGGACUGAGGUCCCUGUUCCUUGCUAGCUAUUGGCUAGGAGCUGUUGCUAGAUUCUAGAGGCCACUUAUAUUCCCAGGCUUGUGGACCUUCCAUUUUCAAAGCCAGCAAUAGCCUGUCAAAUCCUUCCUAUGCUUUGAAUCCUCCUGACUUCCCAUCAUGCCACAGUCAUGAUCUUUUAAAGGAUGUGUGUGCUUAAGUGAGGCACAUACCAGUUAAUCGUCAUAUUUUAAGUCUACCUGAUUUGGGACUUUAAUUACAACAACGUCUGCAGUGCCUAGAUUCGUGUUUGAGUUACCAGGAGACAGGAAUCUUGGGGAGUCAUCUUUAGAAUUCUGACCCACACCAUCAAUGGCUACACCAUCAAGAGGCAUAUUUUGUUCAUCUUAUGAUUCCUCGUCAGUGGACACACUUUUCCUAAUGUCCAAUAUAAAGCUGAGCUUCAUAGACUUUCUGCAACUUGCUAGCAUCAGACAGCCAGUAAAUGAGGGAGCCAAACUUCAAGAAAAGAACUGUGUGAACAUAGCGUCUGUGCUUUUUGCAGCACAGCAUGAAGGAAAAAGGAUCUGAGAGUCUUGUCCUUGAGAAGAAAGUUACACUUCAAGCAGAAAGAUUAAAUAAAAUUUGUUAUGCAAUAUCAAUAUGAUUAAUGAUUCAUUACAGAUAGCAUAAACUUUUUUAUGUAUAUAUACCUGUUCCAUGUUCAUUUUUAUCACGAUUAAGAAAGUUUUAUAUAUAAUGUGUAUAUACGUAUGUUUUACAUAUAAAUAUACAAUGGAAAUUAAGAUUAAUUCAAAGAUGAUAGAAGCUGCUGUAUAAUCAUUGAGAUGGGAUUUCAUCAGGGAAAGCUUGAAGAGGAUCUAAAACAUUAACUUGCAGAUAUGGUGACCUUAAAUUUAUUUGUUCUACUUUCAAACACCAGUUUAAAGGGCACCAUUUUAAAUUGGGGUGCCUUAUUUCGUGCCCAUUUUUAAAGAAAGCAGCACCCCAGACUGUAAUUUCUAUAAACUUUUGCAACAACUCAUCUCAUACUGAGGGGUAAAACUGUGUCCUUUCUAAUUUAUGGACUACAGAACCAUGAAUCUCCUACCAAAAAGGUUUUCAGCUGGUGCUAAUGGAGUUAAUCUCAGCACUCACGAUGUGGUUCUCAAAAGUGAUGUUGGGGAGAAGAUCCUAAAAGGGGUAGAACUUAGGAAAUCCAGUUGGGAAUUUAUGUUCUAGGAUAAAAUAGGAACAUUUAUGGUCUCAGUUCAUUUGUGCUGCUGCGACAAAAUACGUUCAACUGGGUCAGGUAUAAAGGACAGAAAUGUAUUUCUCACAAUUCUGGAGGCUAGGAAGUUAAAGACCAAGUUGCCAUCAUAUUUAGUGUAUGGUGGAGACUUGAAUUCUGCUUUAUAAGUGGCCCCUCCUACUGAGUUCUCACAUGGUAGAGGGGGUUAAUGCUGUGUCCUCACAUGGGGAAAGAAUGGAAGGGCAAAAAGGGGAUGAAAUUCCUCCAUCAAGCCCUUUUAUUAGGACAUUAAUCCCUCAUGGAGACACGAGAGCUCUCAUGGCUUCUAAUCA
rnacentral:lncRNA from 1 species